rnacentral:rRNA from 1 species
CACGUAGGGGGCGAGCGUUGUCCGGAUUUAUUGGGCGUAAAGAGCUCGUAGGCGGUUUGGCAAGUCGGGUGUGAAAUUUCGAGGCUCAACCUCGAAACGCCACUCGAUACUGCCAUGACUGGAGUCCGGUAGAGGAGUGCGGAAUUCCUGGUGUAGCGGUGAAAUGCGCAGAUAUCAGGAGGAACACCAAUGGCGAAGGCAGCACUCUGGGACGUGACUGACGCUGAGACGCGAAAGCGUGGGGAGCAAACAGG